CAGCAGGUAUUUUAAAAUAAAAUAUUAAUUUUGGAGAUUAAUGAAAAAGUUUAUUCUUUUCUGCUGA
rnacentral:tRNA from 1 species